rnacentral:rRNA from 1 species
CACCUGCACAGGUGCUGCAUGGCUGUCGUCAGCUCGUGUCGUGAGAUGUUGGGUUAAGUCCCGCAACGAGCGCAACCCUUAUCCCCAGUUGCCAUCAGGUAAAGCUGGGAACUCUGGGGAGACUGCCGGUGAUAAACCGGAGGAAGGCGGGGAUGACGUCAAGUCCUCAUGGCCCUUACAUCCCGGGCUACAUACGUGCUACAACGGCAGGUACAGAGGGCUGCAAAGCCGCGAGGUAGAGCGAAUCCCAGAAAACCUGUCUCAGUCCGGAUUGAAGUCUGCAACUCGACUUCAUGAAGGCGGAAUCGCUAGUAACCGCGAAUCAGCAGGUCGCGGUGAAUACGUUCCCGGGCCUU